rnacentral:rRNA from 1 species
CAGCGCCACGAGUGGUAACCACGUUUAUUGGGCCUAAAGCGUCCGUAGCUGGUUUGAUAAAUUCUUUGUGAAAUCAUUGUGCUUAACGCAAUGGCGUGCAGAGAAGACUGUCAAGCUUGGGACCGGGAGGAGUCAGAAGUAUUCCGGGGGGAGCGGUUAGAUGCUAUAAUCCUCGGAGGACUACCUGUGGCGAAGGCGUCUGACCAGAACGGAUCCGACAGUGAGGGACGAAAGCCAGGGGAGCAAACCGGAUUAGAUACCCGAGUAGUCC